rnacentral:tRNA from 1 species
CAAAACUUAACAUAAGAAAUGUAUCUCACUUACAUUGAGAAAAUAAUUAGUUUAAUUAGUUUUGA